rnacentral:lncRNA from 1 species
AUCAGGUUAUUCGAAUAACUAAAUCAGAUAUUCGAAUAACUUAGCUUGCGGAAAUUCCAGUUUUUAAUACGAAAUAUUAGAUAGUCGACUAAGUUAUUAGUUAAUCGACUAACUUUGCUUGAAAAUAAAAAUUUCUUCGAAAUUUAAGCAUAUUGAAACAUUCUAAAGAACUAAUACUAACAUUUUAUCAUAAACUAACUAAUACGAGCUGAUAUUAAUGACUAUUAGAUUAUUCACUAACAAUUACAAAUAAGUGAAAUAAAAUCAAUUCCAUCUUCCUUCAUCACAGAUCCAUCACAAUUUAGGUGGUCAAUUUUCCCC